UGCUGACGAGAUCCACACACGAACUGCCUACAAUUGGAUUACUAACACGUUAAUCUAACUAUUCAAAUACGAACUACGUAUUAACCCCUUACAAUAUUCGGCCAACCACACCUGCAGAUCAUAGUAAGCUUAUAAGAAAUCAAUAAGCAACUCAUUAACAAAUUUUUGUCAAUGUUUACCACAUAAUCAUAAUUUCACUGCAAGCUGUCUUCCUGAGCAACAGUCACUAAAUCAUUUAUAAUUGGAGCUACGAAACUCCAAAUCAAGUGCCGUUAAUUUUCCCUGCAAAUAGACUCAUAUAUCUUCUAUCCAUAAAAUUUUAAGAAUUUUUGAUUUGGCCAAUAAAUACCAGAUUUUUCUUAAAGUUUCCCAUGUUUCACUGUUUGACUAAUCUGACCACUCUUCAUUACGAAUCAAAUUUCUCAUUGUACAGAAUUUAAAAUAUGUUCUAGUUUAUUUCAUUUGAAACUAUACUCAUUAAUCUUUAAUUACAUAAUUUAUUCACCUUCUAAAUCAUCUCUCACAAUUUAUGGUGAUUUUCCAAAGUCACGUUACUGCUGCUGUCCCAAGCAGAUUUAUUACCAAAUCACUCUUUCACACAUAACUUGCAUCCAUGUUAUUUAAACAUGUAUAUCACCAAUCAAUUAUCACAUAUCUAUGAUUUCACUUAAGUAUAAUCUCCAUUUCAUCAUUUUAAAGCACAACAUGUUAGCCGAUUUUUCCCUUUAGCAUCUAAGGCAGAUGCAUGCUCAUUUGUUUGGCUCAACUUCACCUAUCUUCCAUUUUUCAUCAAAAGAACAUGAAACAACAACCAUUUCCUUCAUUUUAAUUCAUGACUAAAUGCUCACAACACAACUAAAAACCAAAAUAUGCUUCAAGAGUUAAGGUAGAAUCAAGAAGAACUCAUGAGCAUCAAGAUAGAAGCAAACUACCAUGAACUUACCUUCAAUUUUCUUCCCCCAAGUGACCGAACAUUCAAGAGCUUUCUCCUCUCCUUUCUCUUCUCUAACUUUAGGCUAUGAUGAACAAAGAUGGACAAAACUUUGUUCUUUUCA
rnacentral:lncRNA from 1 species